rnacentral:rRNA from 1 species
GACGAACGCUGGCGGCGUGCUUAACACAUGCAAGUCGAGCGAGAAAAGUUCUUCGGAGCUUUUCUAGCGGCGGACGGGUGAGUAACACGUGGGCAACCUGCCUGGUAGAGGGGGAUAGCCUUCCGAAAGGAAGAUUAAUACCGCAUAACAUCAUUUUAAGGCAUCUUAGAGUGAUCAAAGGAGUAAUCCGCUAUCAGAUGGGCCCGCGUCCCAUUAGCUAGUUGGUGAGGUAACGGCUCACCAAGGCCACGAUGGGUAGCCGACCUGAGAGGGUGAUCGGCCACAUUGGGACUGAGACACGGCCCAGACUCCUACGGGAGGCAGCAGUGGGGAAUAUUGCACAAUGGGGGAAACCCUGAUGCAGCAACGCCGCGUGAGUGAUGAAGGCCUUCGGGUUGUAAAGCUCUGUCUUCAGGGACGAUAAUGACGGUACCUGAGGAGGAAGCCACGGCUAACUACGUGCCAGCCGCCGCCGUAACAC